UCGUUUGUUAAACAAUUUUUUUAUUCGGGUGUCCCAAAUUAUGAGACAAAUCAUCAGAGUUGGUCUGUCGAUUUCAUGUGACUGUGCAAAAUUUGGUUUUGUUGCCUUUAUUAGAUUUUGUUUUAGUGAGCAGUUCAUCGGUCUCAAAUGAAAUCAAACGGACUAUAGUGCGAAAUAAA